UGUAUUAGACUGAAAGAUAUUUCAUAAUUUUCUAAUUUGUGGACGGACAAAAUGCUUAAUUCAGGGGUUGCUUAUAAAAAGGUAAGAAAAUAACACCUUAACUGGUAUAGACGAUUCUCUAUAGGUGUCCAGAUAUCACCAGGCAGGAAACACCUUAAUAUGUGGCCAACACAUUCUACCAAAAGAGAUCCUUUUAAACAUUUUAUUAUUUAAAUCUGAAAAGUUGGAUCUUACAGAUUAUUACCCUCUUCAAAACGUAAUUGUCUAUGGUGUGAACUUCUGAAUGUGCAUUUUUUUUUUUUUGAUAACUCUGAUAUAUGGGCAGCCACAUUCCUAACUAUCCCCUCGAAAGGGGUCCAGCGCCCCAACGGAAGGGAUGUUAAAUCCGUUGUGGCCAAGACUCGAAUCCGGGUGGCGGGCAAUACAGCUGUACCUCUUUUACCACCAAGAUACGAGCGCUUUAUUUAUUUCAAAUAUUAUUCUGAAUGUGCAUUAUUUUGUAAAAUACUUUUUUUUUGGAGAAAAGAGCUUAUUAGGCAAACUGUUCUGUCUCUGGUCAGCUUUCAAGAAAUUUCCAAAAGAAUGCAUCAGCAUUCUGUUAUUUUUAUAUGUUGUUAUUACAGAU
rnacentral:lncRNA from 1 species